rnacentral:rRNA from 1 species
GACGAACGCUGGCGGCGUGCUUAACACAUGCGAGUCGAACGGAAAGGCCCUGCUUUUGUGGGGUGCUCGAGUGGCGAACGGGUGAGUAACACGUGAGUAACCUGCCCUUGACUUUGGGAUAACUUCAGGAAACUGGGGCUAAUACCGGAUAGGAGCUCCUGCUGCAUGGUGGGGGUUGGAAAGUUUCGGCGGUUGGGGAUGGACUCGCGGCUUAUCAGCUUGUUGGUGGGGUAGUGGCUUACCAAGGCUUUGACGGGUAGCCGGCCUGGGAGGGUGACCGGCCACCUUGGGACUGCGAUACGGCCCAGACUCCUACGGGAGGCAGCAGUGGGGAAUAUUGCCCAAUGGGCGGAAGCCUGAUGCAGCAACGCCGCGUGCGGGAUGACGGCCUUCGGGUUGUAAACCGCUUUCGCCUGUGACGAAGCGUGAGUGACGGUAAUGGGUAAAGAAGCACCGGCUAACUACGUG